AGUGGAUGGGGAACAACCUAGUUGUGCGUGUGUAAAGGUAGUGCCAAGAAAAGCGGUGAUCAUGAUGAAAAUCAAUUCCCGGUACCCGAAACCGACACAGUUGGGCAAGUAGAGAAUACUAAGGGGCGCGAGGUAACUCUCUCCAAGGAACUCGGCAAAAUGACCCCGUAACUUAGGGAGAAGGGGUGCCACCGAGAGGUGGUCGCAGUGAAGAGGCCCAGGCGACUGUUUAGCAAAAACAUAGGUCUCUGCAAACUCGAAAGAGGAGGUAUAGGGGCUGACGCCUGCCCAGUGCCGGAAGGUUAAAGAAGUUGGUCAGUCUUAGGAUGAAGCUAGCGACUGAAGCCCCGGUGAACGGCGGCCGUAACUAUAACGGUCCUAAGGUAGCGAAAUUCCUUGUCGGGUAAGUUCCGACCCGCACGAAAGGCGUAACGAUCUGGGCGCUGUCUCGGAGAGAGGCUCGGCGAAAUAGGAUUGUCUGUGAAGAUACGGACUACCUGCAUUUGGACAGAAAGACCCUAUGAAGCUUUACUAUAGCUUGGAAUUGUGUUCGGGCUUCCUGUGCGCAGGAUAGGUGGGAGGCGUAGAAGGUAUUCUUGUGGGGAUACUGGAGCCAACGGUGAGAUACCACUCUCAGGAGGCUAGAAUUCUAACUUAAUUAAGGACAGUUUCAGGUGGGUAGUUUGACUGGGGCGGUCGCCUCCAAAAAGGUAACGGAGGCGUACAAAGGUUCCCUCAGACUGGUUGGAAAUCAGUCGCAGAGUGCAAAGGCAGAAGGGAGCUUGACUGCGAGAAGUACAGUUCGAGCAGGGUGGAAACACGGUCUUAGUGAUCCGACGGUGCUGUGUGGAAGGGCCGUCGCUCAACGGAUAAAAGUUACUCUAGGAUAACAGGCUGAUCUCCCCCGAGAGUUCACAUCGACGGGGAGGUUUGGCACCUCGAUGUCGGCUCAUCGCAACCUGGGGCGGAAGUACGUCCCAAGGGUUGGGCUGUUCGCCCAUUAAAGCGGUACGUGAGCUGGGUUCAGAACGUCGUGAGACAGUUCGGUCCAUAUCCGAUGUAGGCGUGAGAAUAUUGAGAGGAGCCUUCCUUAGUACGAGAGGACCGGGAAGGACGCACCGCUGGUGUACCUGUUAUGAUGCCAAUUGUAAACGCAGGGUAGCCAAGUGCGGGGAGGAUAACCGCUGAAAGCAUCUAAGUGGGAAGCCCACCUCAAGAUGAGUAUUCUGGUGUAAGGUCACGGGAAGACGACCCGUAAAUAGGCACGAGGUGGAAGUGCAGAGAUGUAUGAAGCCGAAGUGUACUAAUAGACCGUCGGCUUGACC
rnacentral:rRNA from 1 species